rnacentral:rRNA from 1 species
GUGUUUGAGAUAGGUGGGAGACUUUGAAGCGGGCACGUAAGCGCUCGUGGAGUCAAUAGUGAAAUACCACCCUUGGAUAGUUGGAUAUCUAACUGUCUUCCGUGAAUCCGGAAGCAGGACAGUGUCAGAGGGUCAGUUUGACUGGGGCGGUUUCCUCCCAAAGUGUAACGGAGGAGUUCGAAGGUACACUCAGCAUGGUUGGCAAUCAUGCGUAGAGCGUAAGGGUAGAAGUGUGCUUUACUGUGAGACCGACAGGUCGAGCAGUUGCGAAAGCAGGACCUAGUGAUCCAGCGGUGGAAUGUGGAAUUGCCGUUGCUCAUCGGACAAAAGGUACUCCGGGGAUAACAGGCUAAUAGCGCCCAA